GAGCUGGGAUGUACCUGUGGUCUGAGUUUCCCAGUGGCCAGAGCCAAAAGGGAAACAAUCAAUUUCAAGAUGUUCACCCUUCCAAGAUUGAAAACAAAUUAAGAGCUCAAGGGAAGUUUGGCUUUUCUGGAUCUGAAGAACUCAAGGCUUUUCUCUUGUCUGCCUUUUAUACAGGGGCCGCAGCAAUGUGCUCAAGCUGACAGCACUGUCCUCAACAGCAGCCCUCCACAGUAUUGAGUGCCACAUUCUCCAAAGCAGGUCUGUGACCUAAGGCUGAGGCCAGCUCGGCAAAGGGAGCCCUUUUCUAAGCAUCUAACCUGAGUCUGGUGGUUUACUUUCCCGACAUGAUGGCAGAAGGCAAGGCCCCAUGCUUUAAGCAGUUCAGAACAGUGAUGGGAGCAGGGGCUCUGGAUCCAGACCGCCUGGGGUCAGGAUCCGGAUUUUCUCCCCAGGGCUGAUGGCAGAAGGACAUGAAAUAAUACGGACCCAAGGCUGAGCCCAAUGCUGGCAAAUGUAGAUGCUUCAUGCAUAUCAACUCUUGUUCUGUUCACGGAGGGUGCUUGGAGAGCAGCCUUCGAAUGCUGUAUCCCAGGCACGUGGGGCUCGUCCCUGACUCACCACCAACCUUUCCGCUCUACACCCACCUGCCUCCUAUAGUAACCCCGGAUGCCAGCCCGUCGUCAACUCACCAGGCCUUGCUCGUGCAGUGUCCUCUUCCCACGUCUGCCUCGCUCACGUACGCAUUGUAGUUUCGUGGUUGUGUUUUUAAAAGGAAUCCUCAUCUUUUGAGAGCCUCAAACCAGCGUGUUUGCAGAUGAAAUGAUCCGAUGUCGGGGAUUUGCUUCAAAGUCAUGGCAGUCUCUAAGACGACACUGAUUCCCCGGGACCAGCUUAUUUAAAGCAAAAAAAAAAUCCAGUGGCAGAGGGGACGUGGGGGACCUGGAUGAGAUCUGUGAAGCCUCGGUGGAUGCUGUGUGGGAUGUGAGUUUUGCAAGGUUGCAAUCCCUUAACUAAGUGGGUAAUGGCACACCUUGCGUGAGCGAGGCCCUAAGGAGAAGGUGAGGAGCAGGAGUCUGGGUCACAGGUCACGGGGUCGUCUGGUCUUGAUGCUAACCGGUGGGAAAGCAGCAGCUUUUCAUCUUUUUUUAGCUAUGAGAACCCCAGGCCCCGUGGAGGUCCAUGGGGGUCCCCGAAGGCAGAGCUGAUGCUGAGCUGUAUCCCCAUCUGGACAACGGAUGGCCCUGAUCCUCUCUGCUCAGAAAUGCCCAGUGCGACGGAUGGAUGUGUAUGUCCCCACCACCCCCCCCCCCAGCAGGUCCACAAGGUGAAACCUCACCCCCAGCGGGAUGGUGUGAGAAGGUGGGGCUUUGGGGAGGCGACUGGUGGAUGGGGGCGGAGCCCUCAUGAAUGGGAUCAGUGCCCUGAUGAAAGCGACCCCACGGAGCUCCCUGCCCGCUUGCACCGUAUGAUGACAUCCGGGUCAUCGGCCACUGAAUCGGCUGGCCCCUUGGCCUGGGACAUCCCAAUCUCCGGAACUGUGAGAAAUACAUCUGUGUUGUCUCUGAGCUGGUCCUACUGGGGCCUUCUGUCCUAGGAGCCCAAACCCACCAAGAUAUGCAGCGUGACGUGCUCUGGGCCACAUUCUUCAUGCUUGCAACCUCCCGAUGGGGCCCGCGGUGCACAAAGCAGCCCAGUGAGAGAACACACCCACCUUCCCAGCCCUGGCUUCCAGAUGGUGCCGGCCUGGCCUCCAGGGAGACAAAGGUGGCAAUGACCUAACCACCCCCACAACAGGCAGUUCUUUGAAAAGGCGUGAGUCCCCAGCUCUUUCGGAAAGCAGCUCUCGGCGGAGUGUAUCAGGGGCCGGAAAGGUAGACGCUUCCCUCUCCAGCGAUCACACUUCUGGGAAUUUGCCCGAAGGAACUAAUCCUAAAAAAAGAGAAAAGAAAGACCACACACCCAGGGAUAUCUACCAAGGUGACAAGUAUAAUAGGAAAUCAUUGGGUGCGACCGGUAGGUUGUCACCCUUGUAGGCAUUUUAAAAAUGAAGUCAGGGAGGCUCUUUAUGGAAAAUAUGGACUCUGUAAUGCUAAACAGAAAACAGAAAACACAAUGGCCAUUGCGGGGUGGGGGGCGCCUGUUCCGUUUUUGAAAAUGAAGACUGACGUCUUAAGGCGUGUUUCCUUUUUGGAUGGUCCCGUGGCUUUCUGGAGGGGAAGAGAAGGACGAGUGGAAAAAACCCGGGGAGGCCCUGGAAACCCUCUGGGAGGGAGCGCCCCUCGGGACAGGGUUUUGGCCUUUUCCACAUCAAAAACUAGUUGACAGUUCAGACAGCCCAGCCUCUUUCCUGGAGACUGAGGCAGGCAUGUUUAUGUUUUCUAAAAGGUUUUAAAAGUUCUUUAUGUUAUUGCAAAAGCAAAGCAAUGCGUGCUCAUUGUUUAAAAAAAAAAAAAAGCACGGAAUUGUAUAAAGUAAGGCUGCUGCCCGUGGCCUCCUUCUCUUCAGAGGGGGCCACCUUGAGUCCUUUCUUUCUUUUCAUUUUUUUCCGUUUCCAGGGUUUUCAAA